AGCUGCUUUCUCUUGACCGGUAUUGAACAAUCUGUUGUAUCUGAUGGGUUGCUGAGAAGGCUUUUCAAAGUUGAGUGUCUUUGCCUUUUGCUUAUCUGUGUAAACCUGGUUUUAACAAGACUUCCAGCCAAAGAAACUCAAGAAGAGGGAACACAACGAGCUAAAGACAGUUGCUGGAAAUUUUUGUACUUUUGCAAAAUGUAAUGGCAGCAAGUCAAGUUAUAAGUACAAAAUAUAAAUAAGAAAUUGAUGUAUUGUGACAUUUGGAAACAUGUAUUAAUGUCAAUAUAGUACUUGUAGCUAUCUAUGUAACCUUAUUGAAACCAAGCACAAUCUGUACUAUUUUUUUUUUCUUUUUCUUUUUGACAAAGAAUGUAAACUAGGUAAAUGUUUGCUUUUGUUUGUAAGAAACACUUGUGUUCUACUCUAAUAUUUUGUUAACCAAA